rnacentral:lncRNA from 1 species
CUAUAGUAUUUUAUUAUUUUUAUUCUUACGCACAUAUUUUAUAUAUAAUAGAGAGAGUUUAUACAGAUUGUCUGCAGAGCUGCCAGUUUUGUGAAGUGGCACAGGAGGAGAAUCCUUUUUGUCUUCUGAGCUGCUGGUGUUUCCUAGCUCCUGUCCAGAACCACUGGGGAGAAACUUUGAUAAUACUGAUGGCCUGCUCUAUAUUAACCUGUUUGGACCUCUUGUUUUUGGAAGGUUUCUUGAUUUGGACACAUUCAUCAAGAGGUGCUGUGUGGAUACCUUGGAUGAAAAGGUUUUGCGCUGCUUGUUUUCCAGUGGGGGAGUAUAAGGUUCCUCUUUGAGAAGUGUUUCUGUAUCUGGGUUGGAAGUUGCAGUUGUGGUUGAAGAACUGUCAUCAUCUGCCAAGGAAUCCUUCAGUUCAUCUUUCUGUUGCUUCCCUUUUCCUCUUCUGUCCUUUUCUUCCCUUUUCUUUUGUGGAAAAUUACUUUUUGCUUGGAAAUGCAUUUAUCCAUACACUAAAUACAUAUGCAAGUUGCAGUCAUCAACAAGGCUGUGUCCAGUUCAAGCUAUGGUUCUUUCGAGAUGAUGCUCUGAUACUUCUUGAUCUGCAUCUUCUCAUUACUGAGUACAUGGGAUCCUCAGUCCUUUGAUGGACUAGACACUCAAUUCAUUAAAGUGAUAGUCAGCUCUCACACUCUCAAAUACCACAUUGUUUCUGACGGACAAGUAAAAUACGUAUUUAGGCUUUCAAUUUUCCAUGUGGGUAUGGUAAUACUUUGACCUGCAGUGAUAUUUAUCAGCGUAAGUGUAGAAGAUAGCAGCAAAACUACUUUGGAUGACCAUUUAUAGCUCUUGUCAUCCAUGUGCACCAACAUGUAAAGAAAAGCCAUAUACCCACAAAGUGGAUAAGAGUUAAUUUGUAAGACCAUAAAGAAUAAUGUGGAUCUACCCUAUAAAAACAGACUAAAAGAUUUCACUUUUUUACUAUCUAUAAAAAACCUGUGAAUGUGUUGGUAACUAUUCUAACUGUCCUGCUUAAAAAAUGUGCAAUGUGUGUGUACAUUUAAAAACUUCAUAGCUGAUUAUCAAUAGGGGCAGAAAAUUAAAU